rnacentral:rRNA from 1 species
CCUACGGGAGGCAGCAGUGGGGAAUAUUGCACAAUGGGGGAAACCCUGAUGCAGCGACGCCGCGUGAGUGAAGAAGUAUUUCGGUAUGUAAAGCUCUAUCAGCAGGGAAGAAAUAGCGACCUUUGGGUCGCCAGACGGUACCUGAUUAAGAAGCCCCGGCUAACUACGUGCCAGCAGCCGCGGUAAUACGUAGGGGGCAAGCGUUAUCCGGAUUUACGGGGUGUAAAGGGAGCGUAGACGGCAGCGCAAGUCUGAAGUGAAAUGCCGGGGCUUAACCCCGGAACUGCUUUGGAAACUGUGCAGCGAGAGUGCAGGAGAGGUAAGUGGAAAUCCUAGUGUAGCGGUGAAAUGCGUAGAUAUUAGGAGGAACACCAGUGGCGAAGGCGGCUUACUGGACUGUAACUGACGUUGAGGCUCGAAAGUGUGGGUAUCAAACAGGAUUAGAUACCCGAGUAGUC